rnacentral:rRNA from 1 species
CUCAUAGCGUAUAUUAAGUUGUUGCAGUUAAAAAGCUCGUAGUUGAGACUUCUGGCGUAUUCUUCCAGCUGGCUUCGGUCGCUGUAAGAGUGGUCAUCCGCUUGGGAACUACGUUCGAACUUCACUGUUCGGCGUAAGGAACAGGCAUUUUACUUAGAAAAAAUUAGAGUGUUCAAGGCAGGCUAUCGCCCUGAAUACACAAGCUUGGAAUAAUGAAAUAGGACUACUUCCAUUUUAUUGGUUAUUGGAAUUAGUAAUGAUUAAUAGGGACAGUUGGGGACAUUAGUAUUUAAUUGUCAGAGGUGAAAUUCUUGGAUUUAUUAAAGACUAACUUAUGCGAAAGCAUUUGUCAAGGAUGUUUUCAUUAAUCAAGAACGAAAGUUAGGGGAUCAAAGACGAUCAGAUACCGUCCUAGUCUUAACUAUAAACUAUACCGACUAGGGAUUGGCCGGGUCUCUUUAACCGGGUCAGCACCUUAUGAGAAAUCAAAGUCUAUGGGUUCUGGGGGGAGUAUGGUCGCAAGGCUGAAACUUAAAGGAAUUGACGGAAGGGCACCACCAGGAGUGGAGCCUGCGGCUUAAUUUGACUCAACACGGGGAAACUUACCAGGUCAAGACAUAAGUGGGAUUGACAGAUUGAGAGCUCUUUCUUGAUUCUAUGGGUGGUGGUGCAUGGCCGUUCUUAGUUGGUGGAGUGAUUUGUCUGGUUAAUUCCGUUA